CAUGUCUUUUUGAUUAUAAUUUAAAGUCUGACCUGCCCAAUGAGGAGUUGAAUGGCCGCGGUAUUUUGACCGUGCAAAGGUAGCAUAAUCAUUAGUUUUUUAAUUGAAAGCUGGUAUGAAUGGUUGGACGAGAAAAUAACUGUCUCAAUUUAAUUUGAAUUAGAACUUUAUUUUUAAGUAAGAAAGCUUAAAUGGAUUUAAAAGACGAGAAGACCCUAUAGAGUUUUAUAUUUUUUUAUAUUAAAUUAAUUUAGUAACUUGGAAUUUUAAUAUAAAAAAGUAUUUUGUUGGGGUGACAGAAAAAUUAAAGUAACUUUUUCUAAUUAGUAAACAUUAAUUUAUGAUUAAUUGAUCCGUAUAUUACGAUUAUAAGAUUAAAUUACCUUAGGGAUAACAGCGUAAUUUUUUUUGAGAGUUCAUAUCGAAAAAAGAGUUUGCGACCUCGAUGUUGGAUUAAAAUUAACUUUUGGUGCAGGAGCUAAAAAGGUUAGGUCUGUUCGACCUUUAAAAUUUUACAUG
rnacentral:rRNA from 1 species